AUUGAACGCUGGCGGCAUGCCUUACACAUGCAAGUCGAACGGCAGCACGGGAGCAAUCCUGGUGGCGAGUGGCGAACGGGUGAGUAAUGUAUCGGAACGUGCCCAGUCGUGGGGGAUAACGUAGCGAAAGCUACGCUAAUACCGCAUCCGAUCUAUGGAUGAAAGCGGGGGACCGUAAGGCCUCGCGCGAUUGGAGCGGCCGAUAUCAGAUUAGGUAGUUGGUGGGGUAAAGGCCUACCAAGCCGACGAUCUGUAGCUGGUCUGAGAGGACGACCAGCCACACUGGGACUGAGACACGGCCCAGACUCCUACGGGAGGCAGCAGUGGGGAAUUUUGGACAAUGGGCGCAAGCCUGAUCCAGCAAUGCCGCGUGCAGGAUGAAGGCCUUCGGGUUGUAAACUGCUUUUGUACGGAGCGAAAAGGCUCUCUCUAAUACAGGGGGCUCAUGACGGUACCGUAAGAAUAAGCACCGGCUAACUACGUGCCAGCCGCCGCAGUAAUAC
rnacentral:rRNA from 1 species